rnacentral:rRNA from 1 species
UGAUGCGAUCAUACCAGCACUAAAGCACCGGAUCCCAUCAGAACUUCGAAGUUAAGCGUGCUUGAGCGAGAGUAGUACUAGGAUGGGUGACCUCCUGGGAAGUCCCCACGUUUUGCAUUCC